AACGGGGAGUAGACAACAGGGAUUGCCCCAGUAACGGCGAGUGAAGCGGCAACAGCUCAAAUUUGAAAUCUGGCCCUCGGGUCCGAGUUGUAAUUUGCAGAGGAUGCUUCGGGCGAGGUGCCUUCCGAGUUCCCUGGAACGGGACGCCAUAGAGGGUGAGAGCCCCGUCUGGUCGGACACCGAGCCCGUGUGAAGCUCCUUCGAAGAGUCGAGUAGUUUGGGAAUGCUGCUCAAAAUGGGAGGUAUAUGUCUUCUAAAGCUAAAUAUUGGCCAGAGACCGAUAGCGCACAAGUAGAGUGAUCGAAAGAUGAAAAGCACUUUGAAAAGAGGGUUAAAAAGUACGUGAAAUUGUUGAAAGGGAAGCGCCCAUGACCAGACUUGGGCCCGGUGAAUCAUCCGGCGUUCUCGCCGGUGCACUUUGCCGGGCACAGGCCAGCAUCAGUCUGGCGCGGGGGAUAAAGGCUUCGGGAAUGUGGCUCCCUCGGGAGUGUUAUAGCCCGUUGCGCAAUACCCUGCGCCGGACUGAGGUACGCGCAUCGCAAGGAUGCUGGCGUAAUGGUCAUCAGCGACCCGUCUUGAAACACGGACCAAGGAGUCGUCUUCGUAUGCGAGUGUUCGGGUGUCAAACCCCUACGCGGAAUGAAAGUGAACGCAGGUGAGAGCUUCGGCGCAUCAUCGACCGAUCCUGAUGUUCUCGGAUGGAUUUGAGUAAGAGCAUACGGGGCCGGACCCGAAAGAAGGUGAACUAUGCCUGUAUAGGGUGAAGCCAGAGGAAACUCUGGUGGAAGCUCGCAGCGGUUCUGACGUGCGAAUCGAUCGUCAAAUAUGGGCAUGGGGGCGAAAGACUAAUCGAACCUUCUAGUAGCUGGUUUCCGCCGAGCU
rnacentral:rRNA from 1 species